rnacentral:rRNA from 1 species
GGAGUUAGCCGGUGCUUCUUCUGUGAGUGAUGUCCUUCCUGCCGGCUAUUAACCCUCAGGCCUUCUUCCUCACUGAAAGUGCUUUACAACCCGAAGGCCUUCUUCACACACGCGGCAUGGCUGGAUCAGGGUUGCCCCCAUUGUCCAAUAUUCCCCACUGCUGCCUCCCGUAGGAGUCUGGGCCGUGUCUCAGUCCCAGUGUGGCUGAUCAUCCUCUCAGACCAGCUACGGAUCGUCGCCUUGGUGAGCCGUUACCUCACCAACCAGCUAAUCCGACAUAGGCUCAUCCGAUAGCGCGAGGCCCGAAGGUCCCCCGCUUUCCCCCGUAGGGCGUAUGCGGUAUUAGCCUUGGUUUCCCCAGGUUAUCCCCCACUACCGGGCAGAUUCCUAUGCAUUACUCACCCGUCCGCCGCUCGCCACCAGGGAGCAAGCUCCCCGUGCUGCCGCUCGACUUGCAUGUGUUAGGCCUGCCGCCAGCGUUCAAUCUGACCAGAUCAAAUUCUGA